GGAGUUGUGGCUCAGUGGUACAAUUAGAAGAGGUCUCGCCUAGCAUGUGUGAGGCCCUGGGUUCGAUCCUCAGCACCA
rnacentral:tRNA from 1 species